rnacentral:rRNA from 1 species
AGCGAACGCUGGCGGCAGGCCUAACACAUGCAAGUCGAACGAACUCUUCGGAGUUAGUGGCGGACGGGUGAGUAACACGUGGGAACGUGCCUUUAGGUUCGGAAUAACUCAGGGAAACUUGUGCUAAUACCGAAUGUGCCCUUCGGGGGAAAGAUUUAUCGCCUUUAGAGCGGCCCGCGUCUGAUUAGCUAGUUGGUGAGGUAAAGGCUCACCAAGGCGACGAUCAGUAGCUGGUCUGAGAGGCUGAUCAGCCACAUUGGGACUGAGACACGGCCCAAACUCCUACGGGAGGCAGCAGUGGGGAAUCUUGCGCAAUGGGCGAAAGCCUGACGCAGCCAUGCCGCGUGAAUGAUGAAGGUCUUAGGAUUGUAAAAUUUUUUCACCGGGGACGAUAAUGACGGUACCCGGAGAAGAAGCCCCGGCUAACUUCGUGCCAGCAGCCGCCGUAA